ensembl:lncRNA
UAAGUUUGCUGUUGGUCUCGGAGGCUUGUGAUCCUCCAAGAAUCCAAGGAAGAGGAGGGGAUGGAAGGUUUCCAUGGAUCAUGGUUCUAUCUGGACCCUGUUCCUGCCUCCUGCCAUGACACCUGCUGCUGGCUUCUGUGGAUGGUGGUUGUCCCUGCAGUGGUCCUGCCGUACACCUGGCUUACUACAGAACAUGCAGUCAGUUCGUGGUCAGAGGUCCUCUCUUCCCUGAUGAUCCCUCCUCAGCGCUGGCUGCUGCGCUCUGCCUAAGACUGGACACAGAGGGGGAUUAGCCUAGCCUUUGAUCGAUUAGCCUCCCAGCUCAAGGCUGGCGGCAGCAGAUAGGGUGAUGCUGAUUGGAUAAAAUGUGCCGUAACUUGUUUUUCACUUCUGUGUCACUACCAUAAUCUGCCGAGAUAAAACGAGCCAGUAAGGACUUGAACACGAGUGACGGUUAAGAAUGGCACUGAUGUGAAAAUGAAAUAAUAGCAUUUAUUAAUGUUAAAUGAACACAGAACAAUAAUACAUUUUGAUUAAAGGAACUCCAAAAUCUCAUAUGAGCGGAAGAGAGAGGAACUGUGCAUUUGAUUGGGUCCUCUUUCCCUUACCUCCUGAUGGGGUAAGGGAAAAUUUUGUGUUUAUUUGAGUAACAUGAAUUUUAUCCUAAUGAUUCAAGGGUUUAUUUUAUUUGGUCAGCACACCACCUGUCAAAUGAUGACACGCACGCUUGGAGGUAAUUUGGUAUAAAGCAGAGGAGCAUGACACUGACAUAUUUUGUUGAACAAAUAUCAAUCAGAGCUGGAUGAGUUUGUUGAACAAAUCAUCUUGUUUGCUUUGUUAGAAAGGAACAAUAAACAGCCCCACAUGUACGUGUCAGGAUCUUCCUUUCCACACCAUGAUCUCAGCCUUUGGCAUGCUGACCUGUUAUCUUUGAAAACCCAGAAGAGUCUUUCAUGUCUGAAAUGACCAGAUUAAAUUGGCUGCAGUGACCACCACCACUUCCCAUGCUACAGGAGACAACGGCAGAAAUUAACAAAAUUGACAUAAAUGAUGUUGACUGCAAG